rnacentral:misc_RNA from 1 species
GCAAUUCUUUUGGAAGAGUUGAGUUUCUAUCAGGGUUCAAAAUGGUAAGCUUCUAGAAGCAGUUAAUAGCAUGCAACAACCUUCGACAGAAGAUCAA